ensembl:lncRNA
AAUGGGGUUGGACUAAUUAGAGGCAGGUGUACUUGAUUGCACUGAUACACUGGUCUACUUAUAGCCCACACUACAAACACUGCUGUGUCGUUUUGUCUCUCUGUGCAGGCCAGGGCCUAUUAUAUGCCACAGCCUAAAGGCAGCAGAGUUGCAGAGGCUGUAGUGACCACUGGCUAUAUGCUUGCAGGGUGGUGGGUCUCCAAGGACAACUUCUAACCCUGUUAAAGGCAACACGUGGAGUGCAACUGGCCGUGUGGCAUAGCUGGCUCUGGCCUUGGGACUGUGUGUUUUUAUACGAUUCAUAAAUGGGACACUGGAGUGUUUUAUCUUUUAUCUCUUGAUAUUUUUUGUCAAUAAAUUAUCUUUUAGAAUUUUAUUGACUGUCAUCUUUUUGCCCACGACAGAGACUGUUGGUCAGACCUAGAAUCUUUCUUUGGGUGUGUUACAUUAUCACUGCUCAGUUUACUUUGAUUAAAAAGUCAAUAGAAUUAUUCCCAUGGGGCAACUGAAGGUUUGUGAUACUUGUUUUGUUUAGCAAGAUAAUCUUCAUAAACUGAUGUCACUUUUUUUUUUUUUUUUUCAAGCAUAAAUGCAAUGGCCAGAAAUGCAGUGUUACCUUUGAACUUCACUAUGGUCACGUGACCACCACACCAAGCCUGCUGAUGAUAUCUCUGUGACGAAUUCUGGAGUCUAAUUUUGCCACUUGUUAACAAAUAUUGUCUCUGAUAUGUGUAAUAGCUGUCCAAGCUAACUACUAAAUAACUUGUUCCUUUCUCAACUAAAGUCAUUCAUUAACUGUUUACAUGCUUAGUCUCGCCUUGUUUGUUACUCAUUUCUUUGUUUUGUACUGCUGGAAAAUCCCCUGACUCGCCUUGUCAGCUUGUUUCACUCCACUCAUUUCCUACAGACCUACACAGACUUAUUACACGUCCACUUUGUGGUGUCAUGAUCUUAUCUCUACUAUUUACAGUCAGUUGGUUUACAUUUCCACACUGAGUGACUUAAUGGAGGUCUUACUGAUUGUCUUAGAGACUGUAAAGGCAGUGGUAAGAUGUUUAAAUCACUAUACCGGAGACAGGGAGUUUGAA